GACAGAGGGUGCAAACGUUGUUCGGAAUUACUGGGCGUAAAGCGCGUGUAGGCUGCUUGGAAAGUCGGAUGUGAAAGCCCUGGGCUCAACCUAGGAAGUGCAUUCGAAACUUCCAAGCUGGAGUGCUGGAGAGGAAGGCGGAAUUCUCGGUGUAGAGGUGAAAUUCGUAGAUAUCGAGAGGAACACCGGUGGCGAAGGCGGCCUUCUGGACAGUGACUGACGCUGAGACGCGAAAGCGUGGGGAGCAAACAGG
rnacentral:rRNA from 1 species